rnacentral:rRNA from 1 species
AUGAUGGGAAUUUAAACCUCUUCCAGAGUAUCAAUUGGAGGGCAAGUCUGGUGCCAGCAGCCGCGGUAAUUCCAGCUCCAAUAGCGUAUAUUAAAAUUGUUGCAGUUAAAAAGCUCGUAGUUGAAUUUCUGCUGCAUUGCUUUUGCUCCUUUACGAGUCUUUGCAUUGUGGCUUAUUUCGGACUUUGUUUUACAAUGUCCGGAUGUUUACUUUGAGAAAAUUAGAGUGCUCAAAGCAGGCUUUCGCCUUGAAUAGUUUAGCAUGGAAUAAUAAAGUAGGACUUUGGUUCUAUUUUGUUGGUUUUAGGUACCAAAGUAAUGGUUAAUAGGAACAGUUGGGGGCAUUCGUAUUUAACUGUCAGAGGUGAAAUUCUUAG